AGCUCUGUAAGCGUAUACCAAAGUUGUUGCAGUUAAAACGCUCGUAGUCGGAUUUUGGAGCAGCCCGUGCUGUGCGCGUAGUGCGUGCGGCGCUGGGAUGUUCUUUUGUGGAGGGCGGCGCGUCGUGGCUUUGCUGUCGCGGCGUGUCGGCGCCACCGUUUACUGUGAAAAAAUUAGAGUGUUCAAAGCAGGCGUUUGCCCUGAAUACAUUAGCAUGGAAUAAUAGAAUAGGACUUGGUUUCUAUUUUGUUGGUUUGUGAGAGCCGAGUAAUGAUUAAGAGGGACGGUUGGGGGCAUUUGUAUUCCAGCGUCAGAGGUGAAAUUCUUGGAUUGCUGGAAGACAAACCGCUGCGAAAGCGUCUGCCAAGGACGUUUUCAUUGAUCAAGAACGAAAGUACGC
rnacentral:rRNA from 1 species